GUCUUUACUAAGUAAUAAAAGAAAAGCAUAUUGGAAGGUUGAAAUUUUGUCUAAAAACUCCUCCUUUUCAGAAGCAAUAGAAGCAAAGAAUCCCUCUUCAACAACUCCAGUGGUCAGCCAAUAAUGAAGUGAAAAGGCCAAAAGCAGCAGCAGCAAGCUAGCCUCAACCGCAUGAAAAAGGCACCCCCUCUUC